rnacentral:pre_miRNA from 1 species
UAAGUACUCCCUCCGUCCCAAAAUUCUUGUCUUAAAUUUGUCUAGAUACGGAUGUAUCUAAUACUAAAACGUGACUUGAUACAUCCGUAUCUAGACAAAUCUAAGACAAGAAUUUUGGGACGGAGGGAGUAUGAC